AGUUUGAUCCUGGCUCAGGAUGAACGCUGGCGGUCUGCUUAACACAUGCAAGUCGAACGGGACUCUUCGGAGUUUAGUGGCGGACGGGUGAGUAACGCGUGAGAAUCUGCCCUUAGGUUGGGGACAACAGUUGGAAACGACUGCUAAUACCCAAUGUGCCGAGAGGUGAAAGGUUAACUGCCUGGGGAUGAGCUCGCGUCUGAUUAGCUAGUUGGAGUGGUAACGGCACACCAAGGCGACGAUCAGUAGCUGGUCUGAGAGGAUGAUCAGCCACACUGGGACUGAGACACGGCCCAGACUCCUACGGGAGGCAGCAGUGGGGAAUUUUCCGCAAUGGGCGAAAGCCUGACGGAGCAAGACCGCGUGAGGGAGGAAGGCCUAUUGGUUGUAAACCUCUUUUGAUAGGGAAGAACACAAUGACGGUACCUAUCGAAUCAGCAUCGGCUAACUCCGUGCCAGCAGCCGCGGUAAUACGGAGGAUGCAAGCGUUAUCCGGAUUUAUUGGGCGUAAAGCGUCCGUAGGUGGCAAACCAAGUCAGUUGUUAAAGCGUAGAGCUUAACUCUAUAAGGGCAAUUGAAACUGGUUAGCUAGAGUGCGAUAGGGGCAAGGGGAAUUCCCAGUGUAGCGGUGAAAUGCGUAGAUAUUGGGAAGAACAUCGGUGGCGAAGGCGCCUUGCUGGGUCUGCACUGACACUGAGGGACGAAAGCUAGGGGAGCGAAAGGGAUUAGAUACCCCUGUAGUCCUA
rnacentral:rRNA from 1 species